CCCUUAGACGUUCUGGGCCGCACGCGCGCUACACUGACGAAGGCAACGAGCUUUCCUUUACCGAAAGGUACGGGUAAUCUUUUGAAACUUCGUCGUGCUGGGGAUAGAUCCUUGCAAUUUUUGAUCUUAAACGAGGAAUUCCUAGUAAGCGCAAGUCAUCAACUUGCGUUGAUUACGUCCCUGCCCUUUGUACACACCGCCCGUCGCUACUACCGAUUGAAUGGUUUAGUGAGGCCUUCGGAUCCGCGACUCGUUUUGUGGAGAAGUUGGACAAACUCAGCCAUUUAGAGGAAGUAAAAGUCGUAACA
rnacentral:rRNA from 1 species